AUCUAACAAGUGAUGAUGAAGGAUACUAUCAAGUAUUAAUAUGGCAUCCAGCUGGGUAUAAGAAUAAAACAACCUAUCUUAAAAUAAAUACUAUACCAGUGGGUACAGAAGAAAAACCAUCUACUGCUUCAUCUACUACAAAUUCAAAUGGAUUGAUCAUUGGUACAGCUUUAGCAUCAGGGUUUGCACUAAUGGCACUGUGCCUCAUAGUGUUGGGAGUCAUUU